rnacentral:rRNA from 1 species
UACGUAGGGGGCAAGCGUUAUCCGGAUUUACUGGGUGUAAAGGGAGCGUAGACGGCUUUGCAAGCCAGAUGUGAAAGCCCGGGGCUCAACCUCGGGUCUGCAUUUGGAACUGUAUGGCUGGAGUGUCGGAGAGGCAGGCGGAAUUCCUAGUGUAGCGGUGAAAUGCGUAGAUAUUAGGAGGAACACCAGUGGCGAAGGCGGCCUGCUGGACGAUGACUGACGUUGAGGCUCGAAAGCGUGGGGAGCAAACAGG